UACGAAGGGUGCAAGCGUUACUCGGAAUUACUGGGCGUAAAGCGUGCGUAGGCGGUCUGUUAAGUCCGUUGUGAAAGCCCUGGGCUCAACCUGGGAAUUGCAGUGGAUACUGGCGGGCUAGAGUGCGGUAGAGGAUGGUGGAAUUCCCGGUGUAGCGGUGAAAUGCGUAGAGAUGCGGCGGAACACCGAUGGCGAAGGC
rnacentral:rRNA from 1 species